CAGAGCACGUCACAAAUGGGACUGCCUUGUCCCCAGAACCGUAACUGCGGAGGUUCCCACCUUCUAUUUUCCCACCCUACCUCCCUGCCCCACUUCUGCGCCCUGGGUUCUGAAUUACCAGUCAGAUUCCCUCACUUCGCUGCUCGGAUCCCUUCAGCAUCCUUCCAUCUCACUAGGAAUAAAAUACAGAAUCUCGACCACACUUCGCAAGCCCUCGUCUGCUGUAUCCUUCCAGGCACACACUGGCUUCGUGGCAUCUCGGCUCUUCUCUCUUCUCCUGAAUCCUCUCCCUGUCACCUGUGGACCUGGCCGGGGCAGUUCCCUCGGGGGCCGUUUACCUGGGCUGUUUCUGCGCUCACGUACCCACAGGUGCCGGCAAAGAGUAAUAAUCAUUCACCG
rnacentral:lncRNA from 1 species